AGUCAUCAUUGCCACCAAUGGUCUGGGUCAUUGGCUGUGCACACACAUCCACAGACAGUACAACAACAGCCUCUAGUCCCUUGUUGCUGACCUUUGGGAAGCUGGGCAUGUAAGGCCAUACAUGAUCUACAGUGUACUUGUAGAGGUCAGAGGACAACUUGCAGGAGUCAUUUCUCUGCUUCCACAAUGUGGAUCCUGGGGAUCCAACUGAAGUCAUCAGAAGCAGUACUCGGGCUUCUAUUACACUUUAAUACGAUCUACAUAUAAGGUGAGUCAUACAGUAUACCUUUUUGUCCAACAUAUUUACUUGUAAACAUUCAUUGCAAUGAGUCAUUGAACUUGUUCAUGGCCUCUAGUUUCUGGUACACUAUCAUCAUGGGACCCUCAACAAAACUCCUCUAGGAUAUCCUGCAGUC